rnacentral:rRNA from 1 species
AACAUGACUCUCGGCAACGGAUAUCUCGGCUCUCGCAUCGAUGAAGAACGUAGCAAAAUGCGAUACCUGGUGUGAAUUGCAGAAUCCCGCGAACCAUCGAGUUUUUGAACGCAAGUUGCGCCCGAGGCCUUCUGGCUGAGGGCACGCCUGCCUGGGCGUCACGC